AUGAAUCGCAGCAAGCAGCAGAGGGUGUUGCAGGCAAAGACACGCCUGGGCCGGCGCCGGCGGCGGAGAAAUCGCUUUUCUUUCCUCCUCGGGGCGCGGCGGCCGCCUCGGCCAAGAGCCGCCGCGAAAACCAGGAUGUGGGGUGCCAGCCCCCGCCUUGGAUGCCCAGGCAGGGGUAAUCGUGGCCCCACUGCCGGUUUGAGCCGCCGGAGGUUCUUCCAUCCCUGUCACCGGAGACCUGGAGCAUCCCACAUCCUACAUGGGGACUUGGCGGCGGCAAGCACAGCUGGGCGGAUAGCGCACCAUUCCAGCACGGGGGCCAAGGAGAAGAAAGGAGGCGAAAACAAGCAGAAAGCUUUGAUCUGAAGAAGCAUGAUUUCUUUUCCUGCCUCAAUUUAAAAAAAAAAAAAAGUUACUUUGGGUCAAGGGAACAUUUUGUUUGACCUGAAACAAAACCUGACCUUGCCAGACUGGCUGUUUUCAGCAAAAGUGAUGGAUGCAAAGGGACUGAUACACCCCAAGCAAGGAGCCACCUCGGGUGCUCCCUUCCCUGCACACCCAUGGGUGCUGCUGCCCGUGGUUGGAGCCUGGAAAAGGUGCAGGAUCAACCCUCUGUGCUAGGGUUGGUGGUGACAGCGACACCUGUGGGGAUACACAUGGCUGCAUCCUGGCUGCCAAGAGGAGCCGGCCUGGCUCUGAGGGGAAGCGACAAGCAGCAGCUCUGCGCCUGGGCACCAGCUGGGGACCCUCGACACGAUGUCCAGUGUGGCCAUCCCAGCCCAGCCGCUCACCUCCUGCUCCCUGAGAACGCUUGGCUGGGCUCCGCUUUCCUCUGAGGCCCUUAAUGUGUUCCAGGCAUUUUUCCAUUCUCUUGUCUCUUUUGCUCUUUCUUUUCUUUUUUCCUUUUUUUUUAAAUUUUUGAUGUAGCUCCUCGCCUCCCUUUCCAAGCACUGCUGUGAGCGUCUGUGUCUCUCCUUUCCCCCCUUCUUGCUCUUCCUCGCGCCUGUUUGAUGGCACAUAUGAAAAACAACAUUAGAGGCACAGCGCUGGCGGCUGUGUCCCCCCAAGACGGAAAACACCAUGUUUACGUCUGCCAGCAAAGCCAGAACAUCCCAGGUGCAUUCGCAGGGCGCGGGUGCUGGGAGCAGGAUCAGCCGGGAUCAGCCCCAGGGUGCUUGCGGCCUUGCCUAGCUCCGCAGCAGUGCCCUUUGCAGCCUCUUCGCAGCCACUUGACGUCAUGGGUUUCCAAAAUAUAAUAAGGUGAAGGCCAAGCCCUGUGUCCCAGGCACCUCAGCCCCUCUGGCAGCCAGGCACAUGCAGCCCCGAAUUUCCUGUUGCUCCAUGCUCAGGCUGGCUAACUGGAGCC
rnacentral:lncRNA from 1 species